AGCCCUAUAUUUAAUUUAUAAUAUUAAAUUGCAAAUUUAAAGUAGACAAAAGUCUAAGGCUU
rnacentral:tRNA from 1 species